UACGUAGGGUGCGAGCGUUGUCCGGAAUUAUUGGGCGUAAAGCGCACGUAGGCGGCUUAGCAAGUCGGAAGUGAAAGCCCUCGGCUCAACCAAGGAAGUGCUUUCGAAACUGCUGAGCUUGAGUAGUUAAGAGGAUCGCGGAAUUCCCGGUGUAGAGGUGAAAUUCGUAGAUAUCGGGAGGAACACCAGUGGCGAAGGCGGCGAUCUGGGAACAUACUGACGCUGAGGUGCGAAAGCAUGGGGAGCGAACAGG
rnacentral:rRNA from 1 species